AUACGUAGGGGGCGAGCGUUGUCCGGAAUGAUUGGGCGUAAAGGGCGCGUAGGCGGCGCGGUAAGUCUGGAGUGAAAGUCCUGCUUUCAAGGUGGGAAUUGCUUUGGAUACUGCCGCGCUUGAGUGCAGGAGAGGUUAUCGGAAUUCCCGGUGUAGCGGUGAAAUGCGUAGAGAUCGGGAGGAACACCAGUGGCGAAGGCGGGUAACUGGACUGCAACUGACGCUGAGGCGCGGAAGUGUGGGGAGCAAACAGGAUUAGAUACCCUGGUAGUCCACACUGUAAACGAUGAAUGCUAGGUGUAAGAGGUAUCGACCCCUUUUGUGCCGGAGUCAACACAAUAAGCAUUCCGCCUGGGGAGUACGGCCGCAAGGUUGAAACUCAAAGGAAUUGACGGGG
rnacentral:rRNA from 1 species